AACUAGCAAAAUGAUUUGCGCAAUUACUGGCAGUAGAUAGUAUUUUUAUGUGGUACAGAUAAGUAUUGCCCUGUCUAGUUCUGCCACAAAGCAAUCAUGUGUUCCGAAUUUAAAGGAUAUUCGUUAUGGCAAUUGAAAUUAAUAUUAUAUGUUUCAUAUUGGGCUACCAACCGGAAACCAGGAAAAAUCAACGUGAAUAAUCUUAGUUACAUAAUCUGGGAGCUUUGAUAAUAUAAUCCUUUUUUGAUGGCGAUAUCAAACUAUUACUUAAUUCAUGGAGUGUAAAGUUUUAAAUUUUUAAGAUAUAUUUUUUUCCUACCCAACAGCGUUUAAGCUGCUAUGGUUCGAUCAUGUCGAAAUUAACAAAAUAAUAAGUACAUACAUACAAUACAUCGUUUGUAACGUUUUUUUCAAUAUUUUAGUUUAUUUUUAAGGUUCUUGGCAUCGGAUAGGUCAUACAGAAAUGUGACAGCAAUAUCUUCUUCUUCAUCUUACCAGCCCACAGACGUCCGCUGCUGGACAUAGGCCUCCCCCAAGCCUCGCCACAAAGACUGGUCCUGCGCUGACUGUAUCCAGCGGAUCCCCGCGACCCUCGAUAGAUUGUCGGUCCAUCUUGUGAGAGGCCUGUCUUCCGGUACGCGGUCGCCACUCAAGAACUUUCUGGCUCCAACGGCCAUCCGUUCUAUGAGCAAUGUGUCCUGCCCACUGCCACUUCAACGUCGCAAUCCAAAGGGUUAGUCAUCAACAGCAACGGUGAGUACAUAACUCACCUUCGGUUUGCCGACGAUAUUGUGAUUAAGGCCGAGACCCUGGAGGACCUCAGUACAAUGCUCAAAGACCUCAGUAGGGCUUCUAUCCGAAUGGGUCUGAAUAUGAACAUGGACAGCAAUACAUCGUAUGUUAAUCCCAAAAAAGCAUGUUACGUCAUACUAUACAAAUUGAUAUACCCACUAUUAUAAAUAAUUCAAUUGACUAUUAGGAAGUGAUUCUGGAAGACUAUCUCCCUACCUUUAGUAGACUCCAACCUUUUUCAGCAAUGGAUAAAAUUACAUAUUUAUUUACUUAUGUGAUAUUUGAUUAUUUCUUCAUGGUUUGAUUGAUUCUACUAUAAUAAAGGAUUUAUUAAUUUAAUAAA